UCUAGAUUUCUUUUUUUCCUCUCAUACCAAUGGCUGCUAAACCCAAACAUGUUUGGCUUCAUCUGGGAACACUGAUGUGAACAUAAUACAUUCCUCCUCUAUGCAAGCACAGGUGAGACUCUACUGGACACAUGUUCAUCAUUUGCAAGAACACAGACCUGACCCAGCAUAAAGAAUGUGUUAAAUGACAAUGGGAACAGUGGAGAGCUGUUUGAGAUUAUGUAAUCUCAUUCUACACAAGCUGGUAGAAUUUUUCUCUUUAUUAAGCAUUGUUUACCUUCAGAAAAUUUAUCUUCCUCUCUUAGGAAUGAAGAUGGAAAUUUAACGCAAAGCAUCCUGGUCCUUGCUCAUUAUGAUUCUGUAAAGUCCUGCCAUUUAGGAAAUGUGUCUCAAUUUCUGUGGAGAUGAAGCAGGAAGGUCAGACUGAGCUUUAAUCAAGUGCCUGAAGCCAUGUCAGGGUCUGGACGUGGCUGCUAUUCACUUAAUCCCUGAAGCCCAGUGAGUAUACUGAUAUUGUCAUUGACAAUUUACUCUUGCGGUAUUUUUCUGCUAAACUGGGAGGGAUUUUGUUACUGUGCACUAUCAAAAAUACAUGAAGGACUUGCCCCUUAUUAAGAGAUGCCAUGUCAGUUGAGCUAACAUUUAUAAUGAAACCCCAGCAAUGAGCAGUCUCCAUCCCUCACAGGAAACAAGGAAAAAAGUAGAACUCUUAAAUUGCUCUAUGCUGCAGGGAGGAUUAGCUUCCUCCUGGGGAAAAUGUAGUGUGCUAUCAUGCUAUUUUGUUCAAAGGCUUUCCCCUCUUCUCACUGCCUUGGACUCUUUGUCAUAGUCUCUCCCCUCACCCUGCCCCACCAGCAUCCCCAGUGCACGGGCAUGG